rnacentral:rRNA from 1 species
UAGGGAAUCUUUCGCAAUGGACGCAAGUCUGACGGAGCAACGCCGCGUGAGUGAAGAAGGAUUUCGGUUCGUAAAACUCUGUUGUUAGAGAAGAACAGCGCAUAGAGUAACUGUUAUGCGUGUGACGGUAUCUAACCAGAAAGCCACGGCUAACUACGUGCCAGCAGCCGCGGUAAUACGUAGGUGGCAAGCGUUGUCCGGAUUUAUUGGGCGUAAAGCGAGCGCAGGCGGUCAAUUAAGUCUGAUGUGAAAGCCCCCGGCUCAACCGGGGGGGGUCAUUGGAAACGGGUUGACUGGAGUGCAGAAGAGGAGGGUGGAAUUCCGUGUGUAGCGGUGAAAGGCGUAGAUAUAUGGAGGAACACCAGUGGCGAAGGCGACUAUCUGGGCUGUAACUGACGCGGGGGUUCGAAAGCGUGGGUAGCAAACAGG